CAAUAGCGUAUAUUAAAGUUGUUGCAGUUAAAAAGCUCGUAGUUGGAUUUCUGGCUGAAGCGACCGGUCGGGCGUUGAUUCGUCUGCACUGGAGUCGGUUUUGGCCAUCCUCUAGGAAAGUGCGUCUGGUAUUAAGUUAUCGGGCGUAUGAUCCUGGUCUUUUACUGUGAAAAAAUUAGAGUGUUUAAAGCAGGCCUUCGCCUUGAAUACAUUAGCAUGGAAUAAUAAGAUAGGACUUUGGUCUAUUUUGUUGGUUUGCAGACCGAAGUAAUGAUUAAUAGGGAUAGUUGGGGGUAUUUAUAUUCCGAUGUCAGAGGUGAAAUUCUUAGAUUUUCGGAAGAUAAACUUAUGCGAAAGCAUUUACCAAGGAUGUUUUCAUUAA
rnacentral:rRNA from 1 species